UGCCGGCCGACACACCGG
rnacentral:misc_RNA from 1 species